GAGGGUAUAGCUCAGUGGUAGAGUGUGUGCAUAGCACGCACGAGGUCCUGGGUUCGAUCCCCAGAACCUUUG
rnacentral:tRNA from 1 species